rnacentral:rRNA from 1 species
UGGGGAAUAUUGGACAAUGGGGGGAACCCUGAUCCAGCCAUGCCGCGUGUGUGAAGAAGGCCUUAUGGUUGUAAAGCACUUUAAGCGAGGAGGAGGGUACUGGUAUUAAUACUACCAGGUACUGGACGUUACUCGCAGAAUAAGCACCGGCUAACUCUGUGCCAGCAGCCGCGGUAAUACAGAGGGUGCGAGCGUUAAUCGGAUUUACUGGGCGUAAAGCGUGCGUAGGCGGCUAAUUGAGUCGGAUGUGAAAUCCCCGAGCUUAACUUGGGAAUUGCAUUCGAUACUGGUUAGCUAGGGUGUGGGAGAGGAUGGUAGAAUUCCAGGUGUAGCGGUGAAAUGCGUAGAGAUCUGGAGGAAUACCGAUGGCGAAGGCAGCCAUCUGGCCUAACACUGACGCUGAGGUACGAAAGCAUGGGGAGCAAACAGG